rfam:Aedes albopictus isolate Foshan contig163881, whole genome shotgun sequence.
UGUUCUGUAGCUUAGUUGGUUAAAGCGCCGGACUAGCGAUAACGGAGUCGUGAGUUCGAAUCCCACCGAAACAA